rfam:Tetraodon nigroviridis chromosome 15 SCAF14542, whole genome shotgun sequence.
CCAUUAUCGGGAGCAGUGUCUCCCAUAAUGU